AAUCUGAUUUGGCUGAGCGCGACAGGGGUGGACUGAUCAUCUUCCUAGGUUUCCAUCCUUUUCAAUCGUUCUCAUACUCUUCCAUUGCGAGGUCCUACGAAUCGCCCCAUCCACCGCUAAUCUCGCCAGCAAGGAGAAACCCUAAAGAUUGCAUACCAAAGGUGUCGUUUUUUUUUCCUAUUUCAAGGGUGCUUCCAGCGCUUCCGGAUCUCCGGGCCACCCGAUUUGUCUCAUCUACUGCUUUGGGUUGCCUCCUCCCCCUAAUCUUCAACUCCGUGGGCUCCUUCGCCUUCCCAAGUUUUCCUUGAUUCGAGGCAUUUUCCUUUUUUCUUUUUAUCUCCGACGGCCUCGCUAAUGCUGUAGGACCCGGCGGCCAUGGGCUGCGUUGCGUCAAAGAAUGCGGUCUCGGCUACGCCGGUCGCUGAUUCCUCCGGCAUUCUAAAGAACCACCGAAAGCGGGCGGGGCCGAUCGCAGCGUCCUUACGGCGGCACCGGACAGGAGAGGGAACAGAGAACGGCCAGCCGGAGAGGGAGGAAGAAAAGAGUCGCCUUGAAUCUGGGGAAAAUGGGAAGGUGAGCUCGGAUAAUACUAACUUACAGAGCCUACGGUUGCGGAACCUUCACAAAUACAUAGAAGGGGAGCAGGUCGCCGCAGGGUGGCCCUCUUGGCUCAGUGCCGUGGCCGGGGAAGCUAUUCAGGGUUGGGUGCCUCUUAAAGCUGACUCCUUUGAGAAACUGGAGAAGGUUGGACAAGGUACUUAUAGCAGUGUGUUCAGAGCGCGUGAUCUUGACACUGGAAAGAUGGUUGCGUUGAAGAAGGUUCGCUUUGACAAUUUUGAACCGGAGAGUGUUAGGUUUAUGGCCAGAGAGAUAAAGAUACUGCGCACGCUUGACCAUCCAAAUAUUAUGAAGUUGGAAGGGUUGAUUGCUUCUCGAUUAUCAUGCAGCCUUUAUCUUGUAUUUGAAUAUAUGGAGCAUGAUCUCGCGGGACUUUCCACUUCGCCUGAUAUCGUACUCUCUGAAUCACAGGUUAAGUGUUACAUGUAUCAGUUGCUAUCUGCACUUGAGCAUUGCCAUUCGCAUGGUGUUAUACACCGGGACAUAAAAGGAGCAAAUCUUCUGGUUGAUAAUAAUGGAAUUCUGAAAAUGGCUGAUUUUGGCCUUGCAAAUUUCUGUCGCCCAGGGCGUAAGUAUCCACUAACCAGCCGCGUCGUGACUCUAUGGUAUAGGCCGCCUGAACUACUGUUGGGUUCGACUGACUAUGAAGCCACUGUAGACUUGUGGAGUGUUGGUUGUGUCUUUGCAGAAAUGUUUGUGGGAAAACCUGUUUUGCAAGGCAGAACUGAGGUUGAACAAUUACAUAAAAUAUUCAGGCUAUGCGGUUCACCACCAGAAGAAUAUUGGAAGAAGUCCAAGUUGCCUCAUGCUACAAUUUUCAAACCACAUCGUCCCUAUCAAAGCAGCCUCUAUGGGACAUUCCAAAAUCUACCAAGAACUGCUGUUAGUUUGUUAGAGACUUUUCUAUCUGUCGAACCUUAUAAGCGUGGUAGUGCGUCAAGUGCCCUUGGAUCCGAGUAUUUUAGAACAAUGCCUCUUGCUUGUGAACCCUCAAGUUUGCCAAAGUACUCACCCACUAAAGAGAUAGAUAUAAAGAAUCGAGAAGAAUCACGCAGAAGAAGAGUUGCUGGAAGACAAGAAGCCACAAGAAGACCAUUAAAAGCAGAUAGAACUUUGCAACAAUCAGGUGGCCUCAGCAAAUUAGUAGAUAGCAAAACGGAUAAACAGCAAAAUGCUGAAGCCACUGAACACAAUGAACAAAAAGAUCCCCCAAGAGUAGAUGGUGAAAGCAGACUGUUUGUAGAUCUCCAGUCAAUUCCAUCAAUUAAAAAACCAGAUGAAGGUCGUCACAUGAAGCACAACUCUGAGCAGGAUAUUGUCUUUUCAGGACCAUUACAAGUUUCUGCUUCCAAUGGUUUUUCAUGGGCAAGGAGGCAGAGAGAAGAUGAUGCACAUAAAAAAUCUCACAGUAGACGCAAUUCAAAAAGAAAUUUGUCUACUGCAAGAGAUCCAUCCGGUAUUGAAAAUGUCAAAAGUAAGAUAGAGUGCAAGGGUCUGCAAAAUGGUGAUCAUCAUGCUGGUUUCAAACUCCAUGAGUCACAGGAGUUGGUUAAAGUUGCAAUGCUGAAAAGGUGGGCGCAACUUGAACAUCCAGGAUCAUUUGAUGCAUCUGAAGCAUUCCCUUCUCAGGACUUCUCUGAAGCCUGCUACAAUGGAGAUCCAUCUUCACUGCGACAUAAUUUUUUGGGCUUCCACAACCAAGACAGAGUUGAGUUUUCAGGGCCUUUGCUGUCUCAGUCUCACAAGGUCGAUGAACUCCUGCAGAAGCACGAACGACAGAUUCGGCAAGCAGUUAGAAGAUCAUGGUUCCAAAGAGGUAUGCCAAGACAUUUUUACAAAUGUUGUCCAAAUCUUUAGAUAAUCCUUAAAAUAGGAAACAACUUAGCAUUAAACCUGAAGCUAAUUAGCCGAAGUUUACUUGUUUCUUAAAGGAAAGCAGUUGUUAUGUGCCUUAUCACGGCAUUUAUUUGAGUUACAGAACUGUGUGCAUUGCACGGCAUUUAUUAAUAUAAUUUUCUCCUAAAUAUUUCAAGUUAAUUUUGGAUAGAGUAGUGCGUUGAGGCAUGACACUCAAUUUAAAAUUUUUUUAUCAGUUUUAAUGUUGUCUGCUGACAUUCAGUGACAGGGAGAAGAAUGAGGAAGUAAACGUUUGUUUGUCAGGAUGAGAAGCAUACAGAAGUAAAAAACAGUUAAUCAACAGAGUUUCCCAAGGAGCAGAUGCAUUUAUAGCGGUGUCUAACUCAUUCAUCUAUUUCUGGUGGCGAUCAAAGAUCUAAGCUCUUCGUUGAAGAAGUUCAAAAGGUGACAUCAAAUAAAUUCCUAACAAUUUAGUUUGGGUACGCUGCAAAAGCCUUGAAUUGGAGCUAUUCCCUUGUAAAGAUGUAGAGCCAUGAAUCCCUUGUAAACAAAUUAUUUUGCAUGCAUUUUCUGAUGUAAAAGAUACAUGUAUGCUGAAAUCCAAUAGUAACAUAAAACAUUCUUUUCA